AGUGAACGCUGGCGGUAGGCCUAACACAUGCAAGUCGAACGGCAGCACAGGAGAGCUUGCUCUCUGGGUGGCGAGUGGCGGACGGGUGAGGAAUACAUCGGAAUCUACUCUGUCGUGGGGGAUAACGUAGGGAAACUUACGCUAAUACCGCAUACGACCUACGGGUGAAAGCAGGGGACCUUCGGGCCUUGCGCGAUGGAAUGAGCCGAUGUCGGAUUAGCUAGUUGGCGGGGUAAAGGCCCACCAAGGCGACUAUCCGUAGCUGGUCUGAGAGGAUGAUCAGCCACACUGGAACUGAGACACGGUCCAGACUCCUACGGGAGGCAGCAGUGGGGAAUAUUGGACAAUGGGCGCAGGCCUGAUCCAGCCAUACCGCGUGGGUGAAGAAGGCCUUCGGGUUGUAAAGCCCUUUUGUUGGGAAAGAAAUCCAGCUGGCUAAUACCCGGUUGGGAUGACGGUACCCAAAGAAUAAGCACCGGCUAACUUCGUGCCAGCCGCCGCCGUAA
rnacentral:rRNA from 1 species